CACGAAGGUGAGCAGUGCUGGCAGGGACGUCAGCAACAACAACAACCACAGCGUAAGAAAGAAGGAAAACCGAAGCGAGAGCACGUCCCGCACAUCGCCUCGUUCCAUCCUGCCGCCGCACAUCCAUUUACUCACGAGAAACUAGCAGCGCACGCUGCUUUGUUUUUCUUUCUCCAUCAGUCUCCUUCAGUGCCUCGGUCCCUCUCUCGCGUGUUUCACUUGGUGGCAACCGCGUUCGCUCUGUCGCGUCACCCUCCACCGCCUUGUUUCUGUCUGUCUGGCUGCGUUUCUCAUUUCUCUAUCACUCCACGCAGCCAUCGACCCCUCCUUCUAGGGACUUGACUAUCGCACAGCAGCACGCGGCGAAGGGUGUCUUACUGGGCAGUGGGUCUUGCGGAUUUUGUUUCCCGUGACCGCGUGCCGCUCGGACUGUUUCGUACUUUUGUUUUCGCUCUUCGCCGCCUCUGCCUCUUUCUCUCUCCCAGCUCUGCGUUGGGCACCGUCGUCUGUCCUUGGCUGCUAGCUGGUGGUGUUUUGUUACUUUUUUUCGUUUUCUGUGUUGCCGCUUCUUCCUAUUUGCUCGACUCUUCGCCCGCGUUCUACUCGAACCCUCUUUCCCUCCCUCCAAAACCCACUCAGACACGCAUAUACAUAUAAAGCUCUCCCUCUAUUACACCGCUCUUUUUUGUUCUUCGUUGUGUGUCUCCGUUGUUGUCCUCGUAAUCUCUUCUCCGCAGCGUCGUCUCCUUCUUUUCCUUCCUUCUUCGCUGGAACAGUUUUGCGUCUCUCUGUGCGACAUCCAUACGUCCUCUAGGUGACGUCCUUUUUAAUAUUUGCUCUCUGUCGUACCAACGACGUGCCUAAGAAUGCCGGCAGAGAAGAAGAGCGACGCGACAGCGACGCGGAAACCCGACUCACCUCACUCGCCCAAGUCGCCAACCUCCGCCGGCGCGACAACAGCCUUCACUUCUGCGAAGAAGAAGUCUAUCCUGCGUCCGAAGCAGAAACCGCCGACAGUUCCCGUGAACAAGAGCAGCUCUACGAGCAGUAGUACAUCCGUGGGCAAACACCCACAUUUUCUCUCGCCACUGCCAGCGAGCUCACCGACGAGACCGCGCGACCCAGCAAAGACUGGCCUACCCCCGCAAGCGCCGCCCCCUUCUACAGGCGUAGAGGAUGCAUCCGCACCGCAGUCGGCCUGCGACGGCAGUCACGGCAAGGGCCAUCAAGCUAACCACGUGGUCGUUCCUUCCAAUAUGAGCUCCGCAGCGCCGUCGCGGCAGAACUCGACGACGCUGCACCCCCUUUGCCGCCACAGUAGCUUGCGCAAGACUGCCUUCGUUGUCGUCGACUACGGCGCGACCGCUGAGCAGGGCACCCGCAAGACGAUGGAGGAUCAGCAUACGAUGCUGUCCGAGGGGAUUCCGUUUUUCGGCGUCUACGACGGUCACGGCGGCACCCAAUGUGCGGAGUACCUCCGCGACCAAUUGCACGGGCUCAUCCUCGGCCAUCCAGAGGUGAAGACUAAUCCCGAGAAGGCCAUCGUCGAUGGCAUAGUAGAGGCUGACCGAGCCUUCCUCGCCCGCUCCGAGGCGGAGACAAACGAGUCUGGCAGCGUCUGCGCGGUUGCUUUGAUCAUAGAUGACAAGCUUGUAGUAGGAAACGUAGGCGACGCCGAAGUUGUGCUUUCGCACAACGCAAAGCCAGUAGUUCUCACCGUGCGACACAACAUCGCCAGUAACCCGAGCGAGGAGGAGCGAAUUCGGUCUGUAGGGGGCAAGGUGUGCCACAAUCGCGUCGGACAUCCGAACUACAACCCGGCGGUCGUUAGUCUUGCCGUGACACGCGCCAUCGGAGAUGCAGGCUUCAAGCUUGCCAAGUACACGGAUGGCAAGCCCUCCGGAGUGAUCGCUGUUCCGGAGACGUCGGUUACCCGACUGACGGAUGAGGAUGAGUUUCUCGUGAUCGGCUGCGACGGACUCUGGGAUGUCAUGACAUACGCAGAAGUGGUGGACUUUUGCUCCCAACGAUUACAGGAAGGCGUGCCGGCGCAGUGCAUCGCCGAGGAGUUAGCUCAGGCAGCUCUCACGAAAGGGAGCACUGAUAAUGUUACUGCCAUGCUGGUUCACCUGACACGCCGGGAGGGACCUCUGAGCACGCGCGAGUUCGUGCCUGAAGCGGCUGUAUCGACCUCAACGCGCAACCUCUCCGAAGAACCUUAGUCGUGCCGUGCGACACAGACACACCCACACAAACACGCACACACACACAUACACGCACACACACAAGGCGUGCGCGAACGUCUGCGGAUACCUCGCUUCUUGCCUUCUUGAAGUAACCCUCUUUCUCUCCCCCAAAGCGGAAGACAAAGAAGCUAAUAAACCACCUGAUGCAUGUGAUACAAACGGAAGAAGAAGGAAAGCCUCGAGGGCGGAGACUCUGUAGCUCUCUGUGUCUAUGUGGAGGAUCCUUUAAUGACAGACAUAUUAUAGAGUAUGCCUUUGUGGGGUCGGCAAGGGGGUUAAGAAGUGUAAAAACAACGAAGGUACAGAUGGCCAGACAGCUUCUGUUGCCGAUCGGUGCGAGCUGGCAGACAUCGCGUGAGCACAGAAAGCAGAGGAGAAACGACUACGGUCCCACACUCCGUUCUUCCCACUACCGUAGCCUUUUCCGGGCUGUACCCUUUUCCGCUUCCCCCGUCACAAGCACCAAACACCUCUAUCGGACUGCUCCGCUUUCUUCUUCCCUCCUCCCUCCUUUGCGCUCCCCCGCCAACACGCUUUCUCCGGUGUUUUUUUUUUUGGCCACUUUUCCGUCUGCUGAUCAGGUUAUCCCGAUUAGUUUUCGUUUAUUUCUCAGGAUGUCGGCAAAAAAGUGAAUAACAAACGGUUGGUAAAGGGAAAGUGGAAAGCGGAGGCUGGUGUUAUGAGAGCGGGGGGUGGCUGUAGAGAGGUACGGCAAUGCAAAGAGAUAGAGCAAGGGUGGCGAUGGCUCUUUUCCCUGCGUCGAAGCGAGCUCUUUUUCGAUGCCUGUGUAGGUCUGUGUGUGUGCGUAUCUGCGUCAUCUUCAUCCUUUCCUUUCGCGCGCGCUGCUCUUUCCUCUUUUGUGACGUCUUUCCUUUGUUUUUGUUUUCUUUGCCGCCCCUCUUCCCGCCGCUGAUUGUUCUCUUGCCGUCGCUUCGUGUCUCAUGCGAUGACGAGGUGGAAGAGGUGGUGAGUUGGGGGAGGGACAGAGAGGCAAAAGGAAAAGCGAUGCGACGCCCACGAAAGAAGCCGUGCGCACGUGGGCGGCCUAUGAAAGGCGAGGAGAGUGUACGCAUAUGCCUGAGCGUGUGUGAACGAAUAGUGAAGCGGUUGGGCGUGUGUACCUCUUUUCGUUCUUGUGUGUGUUUGUGCGUGUUCUUUUUGUUUUCAUGGCUCUCUUCUGCUCCCUGUGACUUCCUCCUUUCACCCCCCUCCCCCUUCUCUCUUUCUCUGCGUGUGUAUGAUGAUGGGAUAUUAGAGGCGGCUGGGUAUAACUUUGCGGUUCUCUUACGAGCACAUCUGCGUGUGCGCGUGUAGGAUGCCUUUCUAUCUCGUGCUCGUCCUGUUUUCUUUUUUGAUUUUGGCAGGCACAGCGUAAUUGUGGCUGUGAUUUGCGGUGAAACGCCUUAGGGCAUGCAUGUAUGCAUGUGCGCUUGUAGUAAUGGCGUCGGUGACUUCGAUGGCCAUGAGAACGCAAGACCGCCUUUCUCGGAAAAAACGGGGGGUAGGGAGCUGCUUGACAGAUCUCUAGCCCUCGGGCAAGUGUGGCUGCUCCAGUGAUGCGCGUGUAUAUUUGAUGGCUGCUCAGCUGUGCUGUGAAGAGUUGGUGACUCGCUUGCCCGAGAAGAACACAGUUUCCUUCUUGCUCUCUCACAGCUUCUCUCUUUGUUGAUGAGGCGAGGGAGAGAGACGCAGCGGCGGAUGAACAUGUCGAAGACGCACAAGCAGAAGCAACUUGUAGAAACACGACGAUAAAAAAUACCCUGAACCUGCGUCCGCGGCUUUCGGACGGGGGGAGGGUAGGGUGAGGAGGGAAGGGCAGCACAGAAGCGGCUAUGUUUGCAAUGUUUUUCUGUGUGCGUGUGUCUGCAGGUAGUGGGCCUAUAGAGUGCAUGGAUGUGCAUUCUUUGUGCGCGUUGAUGCUUGUUAUGAACAUAUAUAUCAUGUCUGAUUACUAUUAUUAUUAUUUUUUUCUCUAUCUCUGUACGACUGCGAUCCAACCUUCUCGCUUUUUUUUCCAUUUGCUUCCGCACACUUUUGCGCGUGUGUUCCUUUUUUAUUUGUGUGUGUGUGUGUGUGUUUCCUUCCUUUGAUUCUCUCUUUUCUUUUUUCGCUUUGCUCUCCUUCUCGCGCUUGUUCUUGUCGUCUUUUAUUUGGUUUCGAGGCUUCUCUUCGCCAUCGCCUCAGACACUGACGACGCCGAUAACCGUAUCAACGAUGAGGAGGAGAAGCAAACGCCCCCACACACACAAAAAAAAGGAAUUUCGAAAAGGAGGAAGAGCGUCAUUAGCACCCCUUGCCUCCUUUUUUUGGUUUGCUCUUCUUUCACCGUCGCUCAAUCUUCCUCUUCUCUCUAUCUCUCUGCACCGUCGAUGUGCCACUGCCGCCCCGUCUGAGCUUAGGCUUUUUUUUAGUAUUAUUUCGCGUUUGUUUGGUUGUCACCCAUCUUCCUUCAGUACUCGAAAGAAGCAUACGCACACAUACAAC
rnacentral:misc_RNA from 1 species